GUAUAUGAUAUUUAUAGAAAGCACAUGAACGAUAUGUGACAUAUGUCGCCGUGAAUUAAACUGAAAAUUAAAUCACGUCCGAACCAAAGCCACAGGAAGAACUUCAAGAAGACUCCAAAAAGACCCAGGAAUUUAUUGAGGAAAAUCAGCUAACAGUAACACCUGAAAGUCCUCUACUCUUCAGUGAGUCAGAUACUGACUUUCCAAUUCCAGUGAUUCAUCAGAAGGUGAACUUUCACAGUCAAUUUUAAAAGGUUACAGAAAA